AGAGUUUGAUCCUGGCUCAGGAUGAACGCUGGCGGUAUGCUUAACACAUGCAAGUCGAACGAAAGUCUUCGGAUUUUAGUGGCGGACGGGUGAGUAACGCGUGAGAAUCUGCCUAUAGGUUGGGGACAACAGAUGGAAACGUCUGCUAAUACCCGAUAUGCCGAGAGGUAAAAGCUUUAGUGCCUGUAGAUGAGCUCGCGUCCGAUUAGCUAGUUGGUUAGGUAAAAGCUGACCAAGGCGACGAUCGGUAGCUGGUCUGAGAGGAUGAUCAGUCACACUGGGACUGAGACACGGCCCAGACUCCUACGGGAGGCAGCAGUGGGGAAUUUUCCGCAAUGGGCGAAAGCCUGACGGAGCAAUACCGCGUGCGGGACGAAGGCUUUUGGGUCGUAAACCGCUUUUGUUAGGGAAGAACACAAUGACGGUACCUAACGAAUCAGCAUCGGCUAACUCCGUGCCAGCAGCCGCGGUAAUACGGGGGAUGCAAGCGUUAUCCGGAAUUAUUGGGCGUAAAGCGUCCGCAGGUGGUUUUUCAAGUCUGUUGUCAAAGCGUGGGGCUUAACUCCAUAAAGGCAAUGGAAACUGAGGGACUAGAGUACGGUAGGGGUAGCGGGAAUUCCCAGUGUAGCGGUGAAAUGCGUAGAUAUUGGGAAGAACACCAGCGGCGAAGGCGCGCUACUGGGCCGAAACUGACACUCAUGGAC
rnacentral:rRNA from 1 species